CUACGGGCCGCACCAGUGAGGAAUAUUGCACAAUGGGGGAAACCCUGAUGCAACAACGCCGCGUGGAGGAUGACGCAUUUCGGUGUGUAAACUCCUUUUAUCAGAGAAGAAAAUGACGGUAUCUGAUGAAUAAGCUCCGGCUAACUCCGUGCCAGCAGCCGCGGUAAUACGGAGGGAGCAAGCGUUAUUCGGAAUCACUGGGCGUAAAGGACGCGUAGGCGGGUUUUUAAGUCAGGUGUGAAAUCCUAUGGCUCAACCAUAGAACUGCACUUGAAACUGGGGACCUAGAGUAUGGAAGGGGCAGGUGGAAUUAGUGGUGUAGGGGUAAAAUCCGUAGAUAUCACUAGGAAUACCGAAAGCGAAGGCGACCUGCUGGGACAUUACUGACGCUGAGGCGUGAAAGCGUGGGGAGCAAACAGGAUUAGAUACCCUAGUAGUC
rnacentral:rRNA from 1 species